rnacentral:sRNA from 1 species
CUAUUUAUGGUAUACUAAUUUCAAGCAAGUUGGAUAGAUGGUGGCUAACCUAUUUAAAGGGGUGAUGCCUAUGAUGCGCAACUCCAGAGAGGACACAUAAUGAGUGAUUAUGAAAUACUUAUGAUCGUACUAACGAUAAUAGGUUUAAUCCUUAUUAGCGAAAAUCGUAA